UUAAGCGACUAAGCGUACACGGUGGAUGCCCUGGCAGUCAGAGGCGAUGAAGGACGUGCUAAUCUGCGAAAAGCGUCGGUAAGGUGAUAUGAACCGUUAUAACCGGCGAUGUCCGAAUGGGGAAACCCAGUGCAAUUCGUUGCACUAUCGUUAACUGAAUACAUAGGUUAACGAGGCGAACCGGGGGAACUGAAACAUCUAAGUACCCCGAGGAAAGAAAUCAACCGAGAUUCCCCCAGUAGCGGCGAGCGAACGGGGAGCAGCCCAGAGUCUGAAUCAGCUUGUGUGUUAGUGGAACGGUCUGGAAAGUCCGACGGUACAGGGUGAUAGUCCCGUACACCAAAAUGCACAGGCUGUGAACUCGAAGAGUAGGGCGGGACACGUGGUAUCCUGUCUGAAUAUGGGGGGACCAUCCUCCAAGGCUAAAUACUCCUGACUGACCGAUAGUGAACCAGUACCGUGAGGGAAAGGCGAAAAGAACCCCGGCGAGGGGAGUGAAAAAGAACCUGAAACCGUGUACGUACAAGCAGUGGGAGCACCUUCGGGUGUGACUGCGUACCUUUUGUAUAAUGGGUCAGCGACUUAUAUUCUGUAGCAAGGUUAACCGUAUAGGGGAGCCGCAGGGAAACCGAGUCUUAACUGGGCGUUAAGUUGCAGGGUAUAGACCCGAAACCCGGUGAUCUAGCCAUGGGCAGGUUGAAGGUUGGGUAACACUAACUGGAGGACCGAACCGACUAAUGUUGAAAAAUUAGCGGAUGACUUGUGGCUGGGGGUGAAAGGCCAAUCAAACCGGGAGAUAGCUGGUUCUCCCCGAAAGCUAUUUAGGUAGCGCCUCGUGAACUCAUCUUCGGGGGUAGAGCACUGUUUCGGCUAGGGGGUCAUCCCGACUUACCAACCCGAUGCAAACUACGAAUACCGAAGAAUGUUAUCACGGGAGACACACGGCGGGUGCUAACGUCCGUCGUGAAGAGGGAAACAACCCAGACCGCCAGCUAAGGUCCCAAAGUCAUGGUUAAGUGGGAAACGAUGUGGGAAGGCACAGACAGCCAGGAUGUUGGCUUAGAAGCAGCCAUCAUUUAAAGAAAGCGUAAUAGCUCACUGGUCGAGUCGGCCUGCGCGGAAGAUGUAACGGGGCUAAACCAUGCACCGAAGCUGCGGCAGCGACACUAUGUGUUGUUGGGUAGGGGAGCGUUCUGUAAGCCUGCGAAGGUGACCUGUGAGGGUUGCUGGAGGUAUCAGAAGUGCGAAUGCUGACAUAAGUAACGAUAAAGCGGGUGAAAAGCCCGCUCGCCGGAAGACCAAGGGUUCCUGUCCAACGUUAAUCGGGCAGGGUGAGUCGACCCCUAAGGCGAGGCCGAAAGGCGUAGUCGAUGGGAAACAGGUUAAUAUUCCUGUACUUGGUGUUACUGCGAAGGGGGGACGGAGAAGGCUAUGUUAGCCGGGCGACGGUUGUCCCGGUUUAAGCAUGUAGGCUGGUUGUCCAGGCAAAUCCGGAUAAUCAAGGCUGAGGUGUGAUGACGAGGCACUACGGUGCUGAAGUAACAAAUGCCCUGCUUCCAGGAAAAGCCUCUAAGCAUCAGGUAACAUCAAAUCGUACCCCAAACCGACACAGGUGGUCAGGUAGAGAAUACCAAGGCGCUUGAGAGAACUCGGGUGAAGGAACUAGGCAAAAUGGUGCCGUAACUUCGGGAGAAGGCACGCUGGUGUGUAGGUGAAGUCCCUGCGGAUGGAGCUGAGACCAGUCGAAGAUACCAGCUGGCUGCAACUGUUUAUUAAAAACACAGCACUGUGCAAACACGAAAGUGGACGUAUACGGUGUGACGCCUGCCCGGUGCCGGAAGGUUAAUUGAUGGGGUUAUCCGUAAGGAGAAGCUCUUGAUCGAAGCCCCGGUAAACGGCGGCCGUAACUAUAACGGUCCUAAGGUAGCGAAAUUCCUUGUCGGGUAAGUUCCGACCUGCACGAAUGGCGUAAUGAUGGCCAGGCUGUCUCCACCCGAGACUCAGUGAAAUUGAACUCGCUGUGAAGAUGCAGUGUACCCGCGGCAAGACGGAAAGACCCCGUGAACCUUUACUAUAGCUUGACACUGAACAUUGAGCCUUGAUGUGUAGGAUAGGUGGGAGGCUUUGAAGCGUGGACGCCAGUCUGCGUGGAGCCAACCUUGAAAUACCACCCUUUAAUGUUUGAUGUUCUAACGUUGGCCCCUUACCGGGGUUGCGGACAGUGUCUGGUGGGUAGUUUGACUGGGGCGGUCUCCUCCCAAAGCGUAACGGAGGAGCACGAAGGUUAGCUAAUCCUGGUCGGACAUCAGGAGGUUAGUGCAAUGGCAUAAGCUAGCUUGACUGCGAGCGUGACGGCGCGAGCAGGUGCGAAAGCAGGUCAUAGUGAUCCGGUGGUUCUGAAUGGAAGGGCCAUCGCUCAACGGAUAAAAGGUACUCCGGGGAUAACAGGCUGAUACCGCCCAAGAGUUCAUAUCGACGGCGGUGUUUGGCACCUCGAUGUCGGCUCAUCACAUCCUGGGGCUGAAGUAGGUCCCAAGGGUAUGGCUGUUCGCCAUUUAAAGUGGUACGCGAGCUGGGUUUAGAACGUCGUGAGACAGUUCGGUCCCUAUCUGCCGUGGGCGCUGGAGAAUUGAGGGGGGCUGCUCCUAGUACGAGAGGACCGGAGUGGACGCAUCACUGGUGUUCGGGUUGUCAUGCCAAUGGCACUGCCCGGUAGCUAAAUGCGGAAGAGAUAAGUGCUGAAAGCAUCUAAGCACGAAACUUGCCCCGAGAUGAGUUCUCCCUGAGACUAUAAGUCUCCUGAAGGAACGUUAAAGACGAUGACGUUGAUAGGCCGGGUGUGUAAGCGCAGCGAUGCGUUGAGCUAACCGGUACUAAUGAACCGUGAGGCUUAACCUU
rnacentral:rRNA from 1 species